UGAUGAGCCAGCCGUGUGGCGUGGCAGCAGUGUGCUUCCCUGUCGACUGUUCGCUGCAAGUGCUGAGGCCCACUUGAGCAGCAGAAAAACACAAUGGGACCCGGGGAGAAGCUCUGAUCUGAGUGGAGAUCCUUUUGUGUGCUGUACUCACUGAGGCAGGCAAUUCUACACCUGGACGGGGUCCUCUGAGACCACGCAGCCCAGCCUUGGUUCCCAGGCUUUGGGUCCACAUUAGCACCUUUGUUGAACACAGGCGUGGAUCCAGGAAUUAGCACGUGGGGCCAUCCAUCAAGUAUACUUCCUGCAGUGGGGGAUCUGAGUGGUGCAUCUCCUUGACUGCCACAUACAUGAACUCACUUAAUCUCACAACAGAUGAAAACCAGAGCGGUUAUACAACUUACCCAAAGUCGCACAGCUAAUGAGUGACACAGCUGGAUUUUAACCCAAGUCGUCUGAUGUCAGAGCUCAUAACAGGUGGAUAAAGUAGGCAGAUUAAAGUGGAUAAAAUAUCAAUCCAGAAUCAUUUUGUUCAGUGGAUAGAAGAAACAGCAGUAACAACCUCUCCGAUUAUAGUGAGUGGCUGGCUCCAUGAACCACUGUUUGUGCAUUUAAAUCACAAAAAUCUCAAUUUAGCUCUAUUUGGACUCGUAUCCUUAUAAGAGGAAAUUAGGACACAGUCAGGCACAGACAACAGACCAUGUGAGGACGGAGAAGACGGCCAUCGACAAGCCAAGGAGAAAGGCCUCAGAAGAAACCAACCCUGCUGACACCUUGAUCUCAGAUUUCUAGUCUCCAGAACUGACUGGUUCUCCAUUGGGAGGGAUAGAACUCUGUUAGGCCAAUGGAGUGGUGACUUUCCCACCACCCCAUCAAUCAUCAAGGUGGAACUGACAAAGGACAGCGACUCAGCUUCCAUCGCAGCAGGAACUAGGAUAUCCAUAUAGCAUCUCAGGAUGCCUGAGAGACCCACGCUGUUAUACAUCAGAAGGCGGACGGACUUCUCUCUGGGAGGAGGUGGAGAUAGGUGAAAACUCUCUGACCUCGACACCCGAACAGCCUAGUACCUGCAAGCAGCUUUCUUCCAGCGGACGCCUCCCAGAACAUCACCACACACCAAGGGCAGGAGGGAGCAUGCACCAGAGGAGCGACAAUGGAAACAGCUGGCUCUCUGCUGAUAUGGCUGGGGUGAAACUGAAGCGGGACCUUCACGCAGUGCCUGAAGAAGCUAGAGAAGCUAGUCAGUCACCCUGCUCUUCCUUGCCUCUCAAGAGGAGCUCUUAUGAGCUGGGAAAUUCCUUCUUGGCACUGAACGAUGCUGGCUUGGGGGCAUGGGUGGGAUGAUAGAGGCAAAAUGAAGUUGUCUUCCUUCUCUUCU
rnacentral:lncRNA from 1 species